AUUUCAUCUAAAGUCCCUCCUGUUGAGUCCUGAGAGUAUCUUACUUCCUAGGACUCUGAUACAUCUUGAAGGUUCCCCCAACCUCCUACCUCCUGACGUUGGCUGUUUGCAUUCUUUCUGUUGGCCCUCAGGUCUUCAGUGCUUUUCCCCCACCCAAUGCCAGAUCAUGUUCCCCUCUCUCUCCUAUUCCCUUUCCCUCUCACAUCCCUCUCCAUGCCCCUUGUGGUUUCUUUCUUCUUCCUCCCAAGUGGGACUGAGACAUCCUUAAUUGGGCCCUUUAGUUUGUUGACAUUUUGAGUUCUGUGGAUUCUCUCUCUCUCUUUUUUUCAUUUUCUUCUUCAUUUAUUUAUUUUUUAAAUUUUUUAAAUUAGGUAUUUUCUUAUUUUACAUUUCAAAUGCUAUUCCAAAAGUCCCUCAUACCCUCCCCCACCACUCCCCUACCCACCCACUCCCACUUCCUGGCCCUGGUGUUCCCCUGUACUGAGGCAUAUAAAGUCUGCAAGACCAAGGGGCCUUUCUUCCCAAUGAUGGCCGACUAGACAAUCUUCUGCUACAUAUGCAGCUUGAGACACGAGCUCUGGGGGUACUGGUUAGUUCAUAUUGUUGUUCCACCAGUAAGGUUGCAGACCCCAUUAGCUCCUUGGGUACUUUCUCUAGCUCCUCCAUUGGGGGCCCUGUGAUCCAUCCAAUAGCUGACUGUGAGCAUCCACUUCUGUUUUUGCCAGGUUCACAAGAGACAGCUAUAUCAGGGUCCUUUCAGCAAAAUCUUGCUGGUUUAUGCAAUGGUGUCUGCAUUUGGAGGCUGAUUAUGGGAUGGAUCCCUGGGUGCGGCAGUCUCUAGAUGGUCCAUCCUUUUGUCUCAGCUCCACACUUUGUCUCUGUAACUCCUUCCAUGGAUGUUUUGUUCCCAAUUCUAAGAAGGGGCAAAGUGACCACACUUUGGUCUUCGUUCUUCUUGAGUUUCAAGUGUUUUGCAACUUGUAUCUUGGGUAUUCUAAGUUUCUGGACUAAUAUCCACUUAUCAGUGAGUACAUAUCAUGUGAGUUCUUUUGUGAUUGGGUUACCUCACUCAGGAUGAUACCCUCCAGGUCCAUCCAUUUGCCUAGGAAUUUCAUAAAUUCAUUCUUUUUAAUAGCUGUGGAUUCUAUCUUGGGUAUUAUGUACUAAUUUCUUUUUUAACUAAUAUCCACUCAUUAGUAAUUACAUUCUAGGCAUGUCCUUUUGGGUUUGAUUUACCUCAUUCAGGACAAUAUUUUCUAGUUCCAUCCAUUUGCCUGAAAAGCUCAGGAUGUCCUUGUUCUUAAUAGAUGAGUAGUGUUCCACUGUGUAAAUGAAACACAUUUUCUGUAUCCAUUCUUCUGUCGUGAACAUCUGGGUUGUUUCCAGCUUCUGGCUAUCACAAAUAAAUCUGCUAUGAACAUAUUGGAACACAUGUGUCCCUGUGGCAUGGUGGGCAUCUUUUGGGUAUAUUCCUGAAAGUGUUAUUGCUGUGUCUUCAGGUAGAUCUAUUUCCAAUUUUCCGAGGAACCUCCAGAAUGAUUUCCAGAGUGGUUGUACCAGUUUUCAAUCCCACCAGCAAUGGAGGACUGUUCAUCUUUCUCCACAUCCUUGCCAACAUGUGUUGUUACCUGAAGUUUUGAUCUUAGCAAUUCUGAUUGGUGUAGGUGGAAUCUCAGGGUCAUUUUGAUUUGCAUUUCAUUGAUCACUUAAGACUUUGAACAUUUCUUUAGGUGCUUCUCAGCCAAUCGAGAUUCCUCAGUUCUCGUUUUAGUUGUAUACCCCAUUUUUUGAUUGGGUUGUUUGGUUUUUUGGUGGUUAAAACAUGUGCCUCCCCUGGCUUCUAGAUAUGUAAACUGCUUAGUGCUACAUUUCUUCAUGUCCUGGUUUACCACAUCUGAAAAACAGGGAGCAAUGAGAUAGAGUGGAUAAAAAUUACCAGCCAUCAGCUAAUGAAGACAUUUUUUGACAAAAGAUAAUGUAUUAGUGUCUAACAUUUUUUUCUCAAAUGUUUCUUAUUAUAGCAAAGUUAGACUAGUGGUACCACCAUGCUCUCACAAGAUUACUUGAUUUAGCUACAUGCUAAGCCUCCAUAACCUCCAAAAACAUCUUUUUGAAAAUACUAUUUAUUACAAAACAAAUUUGGGUGAAUAGUUGUUGCUAUUUUCCUGUCUGUUACUGUUUUCUAUCUGUGCUUUGUAUCUCUAGAAAAAAUUGAAUUCCUUAUGAUGUCAUAUGAAAGGAAAGAGGUAUAAAGAAUAACAGUAGUAUCUUUGGACAUGGUCUCAAACUGCCUUCUAAAUUUGCAUGUCUCUACCUGUAGUCUGGCUCUCAGACAUCAUCAAAAUUUUUUUCUUUGUUCAGUAGAUGGUGGUUAAUAUAGAAACUCAUGAGUGGCUACAGAACCAUGAAUAAGUGACUGUGUAAUACAUAGUUGAAAAUAGAAUAUCAGUAUCAAACCCCUUCUCCAAGGCUUAGGAAUUGUAAGAGCUAGAUAUUCAGAAUGAAUGAACCCAAACACCAUCUUUGUGACAAGAGAGGAAUACUUCACUUUUAGGCUCAUGCAAGCUGGAUUGUCUGUACAAGAAAUGCAUAAAAUAAAACCAAGUAGCAUUUUAGCAUGGAGGAAGAAAUGGUUCAUGAACCCCCUGAUGAAAAAGCUUCUGUGGAAGGUCAGUUUUCUUAAAGCUGUGACUCGUGGUAGUCAACAGUCCAGUGUAUGACUCCAUAUCCAGAAGUAUAUAGACAGCCCAAAUUGUAAUGAGGUACUAUAGGAACUUGGAGUGGAUCUGAGAGGACCUGCAAAGUAAAAACAUUGGGAUGAAAAAUGAAAAAAAAAUGUGUGAAAUUCUCAAAAAAAAAAGAGUAUUAAUUAAAAAUACAGAAAAGAUAUAUAUGGAAAUUUAUUAUUUGCCACGGUAUAUAUUUUUAUUAGGGUGAUCAAUAAUAAUAAAAGCAGUGUUAUUAAAGAGGGCUAAAUAAUUUCCCUCCAUUCUGCUUAUUUACUUCUACUCACAUGAUAGUAUCUCUGAUUAAUUGCUUCUAUAGCCAUAAACUCCACUUCUCUAUACCCCACAUUUAAACAAAUAAGUAUAAGUUAGUCUGUACUCUGGUUAGAACAAUUUAUAGCCCCACCAGCUAAGUGAAGACAACUUCAUCCCUCUGUGAACCAAUGACCCAUUCUGUUACAUAGUCUGACUGGGAUCCUUCACCAGGAUCAUGCUCCUUGCCCACAACUACCAUCAUCUGACCAAAACCAUUUAAUAAAAUCCAUUUUAUAAUACCUACUGGACCAUUACUAAGGUUGUAACAUUACCCAAGUUUAAAAACAUGUUUGGGUGUGGUUUGGUUUUGUGUCUUUGUUUUCUUGUUUUUGUUGUUUGUUUGAUCUCUUGUUUUUGUUCUUGUGUGAAAUACUCUGACAAAUAUGCUUGAAGAUUAGAUUCUAUUACAUAUCUUUGUUACACAAACUAGUUUAAAUCAACACUCAAUUUUGUUUUCUAUUUGGACAUUUCAAAUAAAAUUUCAUGGUCGUGUAUACCAGUAGUAUAUAACCCCGAAUUUCAUCGAGAUGUACAUUUAUGGAUGAUAGCUUGGGAUUUUCUUAAAUUCUAUACUUUUGAGAAAAAACAUAUUUAAUCUAAAAAUCAUUUAUAUAACAUAAAAAAUACUUUCUUUCUACUUUAGUCAGCACUGACAAUAUGUGUAGGAUUGUAUUUAUCAUAUUAUUAUCACUGAGAAUAAUUGCUUUUAUUUUUAAUUUAAUUUUUUUUUGCUACUUAGAAAUGGAUUUAGUCUUCUUUGAUAGUGUUUUAAUUAUAGUGAUCACACUAAAUAAGAAUUUAUACCUUUGCACAUGAUAAACUUUCAUAUAACUUUUUUUCUUUGAUAUCCUUUCCUUUGUUCUGUUUGGCAUGUGAAAUUGUUAUUUUCAAGUGAGUCACAAGAUAUUUGAGAUGAGGCCUAUCAGCAAACAUUAGAGCUUGAUUUUGCAGAGUGUGCUGGUUUGUUCUACGAGAAAGUGGGGUCAAUUUUUACAAGCAAUCCUUUCUCUAUCAUUAUUUCUUUGUUGGCCAUAGUUUAAAAUGAAUUUUACAAAUCAGCAAUAUAACAAAUCAGGAACUCAAAGUGAAAGCCUCAUCAUCUCCUGGAAUGAGUAAAAACUCAGAUCUGCCAAGCAAUGCCAUCAAGCCUGUAUAAAGUCUAAAUUCUGCGUAAAUCCACCUCACAGGCAAUUUUGAUGGACAUCAAAGUCUAAAAAUUAGUGCUGAGAUCAAGAAAAAUGAAACAUUGAUUCUUUAAUUUUAAAAGUAACAUUCUUUGACAAUGGUUUGAAAUACUGGCCUCAUAUAUUCAUUCCACUUUCCUGUGAAACUGUUGGUAACUACACUUGUUUGGGUGGAUGAUGUCAUCAUCUCUAGUGAUGCAGAUGAAUUGCUUCUACUCCAGAAAAUAGCCUUUUACCCACACUU
rnacentral:lncRNA from 1 species